rnacentral:rRNA from 1 species
GAUGAACGCUGGCGGCGUGCUUAACACAUGCAAGUCGAGCGAGAAGUUUUGAAAAGAUUCUUCGGAUGAAAUUUAAAAUGGAAAGCGGCGGACGGGUGAGUAACGCGUAGGCAACCUGCCCCAUACAAAGGGAUAGCAUUUGGAAACGAAUAUUAAUACCUUAUGAAACUUAACUAGUGCAUGCUAGGUAGGUCAAAGAUUUAUCGGUAUGGGAUGGGCCUGCGUCUGAUUAGCUAGUUGGUGAGGUAACGGCUCACCAAGGCGACGAUCAGUAGCCGACAUGAGAGGGGGAACGGCGACAUUGGAACUGAGACACGGUCCAAACUCCUACGGGAGGCAGCAGUGGGGAAUAUUGCACAAUGGGGGAAACCCUGAUGCAGCAACGCCGCGUGAACGAUGAAGGCCUUUGGGUCGUAAAGUUCUGUUCUAGGUGAUGAAAACUGACAGUAACCUAGGAGAAAGCCCCGGCUAACUCCGUG